rnacentral:rRNA from 1 species
UGGGGAAUAUUGCACAAUGGGCGCAAGCCUGAUGCAGCCAUGCCGCGUGUAUGAAGAAGGCCUUCGGGUUGUAAAGUACUUUCAGCGGGGAGGAAGGGAGUAAAGUUAAUACCUUUGCUCAUUGACGUUACCCGCAGAAGAAGCACCGGCUAACUCCGUGCCAGCAGCCGCGGUAAUACGGAGGGUGCAAGCGUUAAUCGGAAUUACUGGGCGUAAAGCGCACGCAGGCGGUUUGUUAAGUCAGAUGUGAAAUCCCCGGGCUCAACCUGGGAACUGCAUCUGAUACUGGCAAGCUUGAGUCUCGUAGAGGGGGGUAGAAGUCCAGGUGGAGCGGUGAAAUGCGUAGAGAUCUGGAGGAAUACCGGUGGCGAAGGCGGCCCCCUGGACGAAGACUGACGAUCAGGUGCGAAAGCGUGGGGAGCAAACAGG